rnacentral:rRNA from 1 species
GACGAACGCUGGCGGCGUGCUUAACACAUGCAAGUCGAGCGGUAAGGCCCUUUCGGGGGUACACGAGCGGCGAACGGGUGAGUAACACGUGGGUGACCUGCCCUCAGCUCUGGGAUAAGCCUGGGAAACUGGGUCUAAUACUGGAUAUGACUCCACGGUGCAUGUCGUGGGGUGGAAAGCCUUGUGCGGCUGAGGAUGGGCCCGCGGCCUAUCAGCUUGUUGGUGGGGUGAUGGCCUACCAAGGCGACGACGGGUAGCCGGCCUGAAAGGGCGACCGGCCACACUGGGACUGAGACACGGCCCAGACUCCUACGGGAGGCAGCAGUGGGGAAUCUUGCGCAAGUGGGCGAAAGCCUGACGCAGCGACGCCGCGUGAGGGAUGACGGCCU